AAACCAUGCACCGAAGCUGCGGCAGCGAACGUAUCACCCAAGACAACUUUACGGAGUUGACGAUUGACGGAGCGAAGCGACGUCAAAGCGUUCAUUAAAGUCGAGUUGGCUUAGGGAUACGUUCGUUGGGUAGGGGAGCGUUCUGUAAGCCUGUGAAGGUGUGUCGUGAGGCAUGCUGGAGGUAUCAGAAGUGCGAAUGCUGACAUAAGUAACGAUAAAGCGGGUGAAAAGCCCGCUCGCCGGAAGACCAAGGGUUCCUGUCCAACGUUAAUCGGGGCAGGGUGAGUCGACCCCUAAGGCGAGGCCGAAAGGCGUAGUCGAUGGGAAACGGGUUAAUAUUCCCGUACUUGGUGUUACUGCGAAGGGGGGACGGAGAAGGCUAUGUUGGCCGGGCGACGGUUGUCCCGGUUUAAGCGUGUAGGUGUGUGUUCCAGGUAAAUCCGGUUCACUUUAACACUGAGGCGUGACGACGAGGCACUACGGUGCUGAAGCAACAAAUGCCCUGCUUCCAGGAAAAGCCUCUAAGCAUCAGGUAACACGAAAUCGUACCCCAAACCGACACAGGUGGUCAGGUAGAGAAUACCAAGGCGCUUGAGAGAACUCGGGUGAAGGAACUAGGCAAAAUGGUGCCGUAACUUCGGGAGAAGGCACGCUGACACGUAGGUGAAGUGAUUUACUCAUGGAGCUGAAGUCAGUCGAAGAUACCAGCUGGCUGCAACUGUUUAUUAAAAACACAGCACUGUGCAAACACGAAAGUGGACGUAUACGGUGUGACGCCUGCCCGGUGCCGGAAGGUUAAUUGAUGGGGUCAGCGUAAGCGAAGCUCCUGAUCGAAGCCCCGGUAAACGGCGGCCGUAACUAUAACGGUCCUAAGGUAGCGAAAUUCCUUGUCGGGUAAGUUCCGACCUGCACGAAUGGCGUAAUGAUGGCCAGGCUGUCUCCACCCGAGACUCAGUGAAAUUGAACUCGCUGUGAAGAUGCAGUGUACCCGCGGCAAGACGGAAAGACCCCGUGAACCUUUACUAUAGCUUGACACUGAACAUUGAGCCUUGAUGUGUAGGAUAGGUGGGAGGCUUUGAAGUGUGGACGCCAGUCUGCAUGGAGCCGACCUUGAAAUACCACCCUUUAAUGUUUGAUGUUCUAACGUGGACCCGUAAUCCGGGUUGCGGACAGUGUCUGGUGGGUAGUUUGACUGGGGCGGUCUCCUCCUAAAGAGUAACGGAGGAGCACGAAGGUUGGCUAAUCCUGGUCGGACAUCAGGAGGUUAGUGCAAUGGCAUAAGCCAGCUUGACUGCGAGCGUGACGGCGCGAGCAGGUGCGAAAGCAGGUCAUAGUGAUCCGGUGGUUCUGAAUGGAAGGGCCAUCGCUCAACGGAUAAAAGGUACUCCGGGGAUAACAGGCUGAUACCGCCCAAGAGUUCAUAUCGACGGCGGUGUUUGGCACCUCGAUGUCGGCUCAUCACAUCCUGGGGCUGAAGUAGGUCCCAAGGGUAUGGCUGUUCGCCAUUUAAAGUGGUACGCGAGCUGGGUUUAGAACGUCGUGAGACAGUUCGGUCCCUAUCUGCCGUGGGCGCUGGAGAACUGAGGGGGGCUGCUCCUAGUACGAGAGGACCGGAGUGGACGCAUCACUGGUGUUCGGGUUGUCAUGCCAAUGGCACUGCCCGGUAGCUAAAUGCGGAAGAGAUAAGUGCUGAAAGCAUCUAAGCACGAAACUUGCCCCGAGAUGAGUUCUCCCUGAGACUUAGAGUCUCCUGAAGGAACGUUGAAGACGACGACGUUGAUAGGCCGGGUGUGUAAGCGCAGCGAUGCGUUGAGCUAACCGGUACUAAUGAACCGUGAGGCUUAACCUUACA
rnacentral:rRNA from 1 species